UAGUCCACACCGUAAACGAUGAAUGCCAGUCGUCGGGUAGCAUGCUAUUCGGUGACACACCUAACGGAUUAAGCAUUCCGCCUGGGGAGUACGGUCGCAAGAUUAAAACUCAAAGGAAUUGACGGGGGGCCCGCACAAGCGGUGGAGCAUGUGGUUUAAUUCGAUGCAACGCGAAAAACCUUACCUACCCUUGACAUCCUCAGAACUUGUUAGAGAUAACUUGGUGUCUUCGGAAACUGAGUGACAGGUGCUGCAUGGCUGUCGUCAGCUCGUGUCGUGAGAUGUUGGGUUAAGUCCCGCAACGAGCGCAACCCUUGUCCCUAGUUGCCAGCAUUUCGGAUGGGAACUCUAGGGAGACUGCCGGUGACAAACCGGAGGAAGGUGGGGAUGACGUCAAGUCAUCAUGGCCUUAUGGGGUAGGGGCUACACACGUGCUACAAUGGUCGGUACAGAGGGUUGCCAAGCCGCGAGGUGGAGCUAAUCUCAGAAAACCG
rnacentral:rRNA from 1 species